AACUUUCUCCCAAUAAAACAUCUACUUAAUUAAUUAUCCAUAUACACCAAAUCUUAGUGUAAAAAAUCCACCAAGGUGAGCUUUUCUUUGUAAAUUUUUACCACCUAAAAUGGCUACUUCACUAUCUACACCAACCUUUUCUUUACUAUCUUUGCUUCAAUCAACCAUUAAUAAACCUUCCUUAUCACCUUCUUUCUUCACCAUCAAACCCAAGGUUAGUAAUUUUUGUAGGUUUAUAUCAUCAUCAAUGGCUUCAGAUUCAAAGGAUUUGCCUAUUAACAACCCAGGCCUUCAUGCUACUCCUGAUGAAGCAACUAAAGGUUACUUUUUGCAACAAACUAUGUUUAGAAUUAAGGACCCCAAAGUGAGUCUUGAAUUCUACUCAAAAGUGAUGGGCAUGUCCUUGCUCAAGAGACUGGAUUUUCCAGAGAUGAAGUUCAGCUUAUACUUCAUGGGGUAUGAGGAUACAUCAUCAGCACCCAGUGAACAAGUCGAGCGUACGGCUUGGACCUUUGGUCAGAAAGCUACAUUAGAGCUUACACACAACUGGGGUACUGAGAGUGACCCUAAUUUUACAGGUUAUCACAAUGGAAAUUCGGAACCACGUGGCUUUGGACACAUAGGUGUUACUGUUGAUGACGUCUACAAGGCUUGCGAGAGAUUUGAAAGUCUGGGAGUGGAGUUUGUAAAGAAACCUCUUGAUGGAAAAAUGAAAGGUAUUGCAUUUAUUAAAGAUCCCGAUGGCUAUUGGAUCGAGAUCUUUGACACAAAAAAUAUCAAAGAAGCUGCUGGUCCUGCUUCUUAAUUCUGGUAGGGGUAAGGCUGCGUCACGCCCACCCUCCCCACUGGAGAUUACACUGGGAGCGCGUGAGAGCUUCUAUCGCGAGUCUUGAUCAACUGAGGUAUCGUUGGAGAGUUAACAUUUUCGCGGUGUUUUCGAUUUGCUAGUGCAUGAAUUGGUGCUUAUGUUAUAGGCAAAAAAAAUUUUCUGUGUAAUGUGAAUACUGCAGAUGUAUACUGUGUUUGAAAUAAUGAAUCGAUGAAAAUAUUUGUA